rnacentral:rRNA from 1 species
UACGGAGGGUGCGAACGUUAAUCGGAAUUACUGGGCGUAAAGCGCACGUAGGCGGUCCGUUAAGUGGGGUGUGAAAGCCCUGGGCUCAACCUGGGAAUUGCAUUCCAAACUGACGGGCUAGAGUACGAUAGAGGGAGGUGGAAUUUCCUGUGUAGCGGUGAAAUGCGUAGAUAUAGGAAGGAACACCAGUGGCGAAGGCGGCCUCCUGGAUCGAUACUGACGCUGAGGUGCGAAAGCGUGGGGAGCAAACAGG